rnacentral:rRNA from 1 species
AAUGAACGUUGGCGGCGUGGAUUAGGCAUGCAAGUCGAGCGAGAACCGUAGCAAUACGGGGACAGCGGCGAAAGGGAGAGUAACACGUAGGUACCUGCCCUCGGACCUGGGAUAGCCAAGGGAAACCUUGGGUAAUACCAGAUAAUGUCUCCGGACCAAAGGUGUGAUUCCGUCCGGGGAGGGGCCUGCGUCCUAUUAGCUUGUUGGUAGGGUGACGGCCUACCAAGGCGAUGAUGGGUACGGGGUGUGAGAGCAUGCCCCCGCUCACUGGGACUGAGACACUGCCCAGACACCUACGGGUGGCUG